rnacentral:rRNA from 1 species
GACGAACGCUGGCGGCGUGCCUAAUACAUGCAAGUCGAGCGAAUUUACGAGAGCUUGCUCUCGUAAAUUAGCGGCGGACGGGUGAGUAACACGUGGGCAACCUGCCUAUAAGACUGGGAUAACUUCGGGAAACCGGAGCUAAUACCGGAUAAUUCACAUCUACUCAUGUAGAUGUGCUGAAAGACGGUUUCGGCUGUCACUUAUAGAUGGGCCCGCGGCGCAUUAGCUAGUUGGUGAGGUAACGGCUCACCAAGGCCACGAUGCGUAGCCGACCAGAGAGGGUGAUCGGCCACACUGGGACUGAGACACGGCCCAGACUCCUACGGGAGGCAGCAGUAGGGAAUCUUCCGCAAUGGACGAAAGUCUGACGGAGCAACGCCGCGUGAGUGAUGAAGGUUUUCGGAUCGUAAAACUCUGUUGUUAGGGAAGAACAAGUACCAGAGUAGCUGCUGGUACCUUGACGGUACCUAACCAGAAAGCCACGGCUAACUACGUGCCAGCCGCCGCCGUAA